ACAAAUGUAAAAUCCUUCUGUCACUGAUUUUUAUCUCAUGACUCAAAAUAAUGUGAUUGGUUUUGCAUCCAUAGAAUUGCAAACUAUUCACCACCAGUUCCUCCUCUGAAAUAAAGUUUAUGCAUGUAGCAAAUUAUAUUAUGACGUGUGCAAGAUGAAUAAAUGUUGUAGAUGUACAUUUUUUCAUUGGUUAUUGUAUUGAAAUGAUAACAACUUGCCCACAGUGAUUGUCUAAUAAUAUCACAAUUAAUUUAUAUCCCUAUAAUACUAACUGUAUGAACUGCUGUGAAAAAAUAGACUGAAAAACACAGCACGGGUGAUAAAAAGACUGUGACACUAGAUCUGGUUACACGCUGGCAAGUGGGAGAUGACAGGUGACCCAUUUUGAAUCUGGCAAACAGGAAGCAGAGGUCGUCGCAGUACAACAGAGCUUUCUCUGUGCGGCUGAAUAUGUCAAAAACAGCUGGUCUCACAUCGCCAUCCGGAUCUAUUGUGCUCGUCCACAUGGUGGUGUUACUGCACCGCGCUGCCACGCCGGUGAUGCAAAUCACCGGUGGUUGACAAUAACAUACUGAAGAGUAAACUGUGCCCGAUUUGCAAAUACCUCCAUGGAUGUAGUCUUCUUCGUUGCAUGUCUUUCUACCUGGAAUGCUCUGAUGAUGAUCUAUGAGGACCUCCGGGUUAUUAUUUAUUAUUAAUAGUAUUUUAACAUGUCCUAUUAAGAUGUCUGUUUGAUCCAAACAUUCAAUCAAAAUAUUUGCAGCUGUCAGUAAAAUGUGCCGGUAUUUUACAGCAACAGGCAAACACAUUUCUAUUUUGUUUUAAUAACUUUUUGCACAUUAUCCCCCCCAAACACAAAGAGAGAAAAUUGUACAAGAAGAAUAUGAAUAAUGAAUAAUUAGACUCAAUCUUCUUGACAUCAUUAUCCUCCUAAGUGUCACACUCUGUUUCCCGUCCCUCCCUCCCAGACACUCUUCUGGUUCCACAUAUCUCACCAUUAUCAUUUUCUAUCCGUCCACUAAAGGUACUUUCUGUUCCCUGUUUCCACGUCUCUAAUGAGCAAAGCCCGGCUCGCUCACCUGUGCCUCAUUCCACCAUAACCACACUCCACAAACACAUAUAACUAUCGCAGGUAAAACAAGCAGCAGAGGAAAGAUCACACAUAGAGAUUAUUUAUUGAUUUAUUUUGAUAGACAAGUUAGUAACGUGCUGUGGAUUGACCACAGAAUAAAACGAGUGUGCAUGCUGAUCUUCUUGAUAAAAUAUCUUUAUUGCCACAAUAUUAUUUGUUGUUGGCGAUGCCUUUUAAACAACCAAACCUGACUCGUUGUCAGAACGCCAUGUUUCAUUGCAUAGUACGUAUAACAUUUAGUGCAAAUCCUUUUACUGAAAUUAAACAAUCUAUGAUUUGAUCAGUGAUAGUGAUUAGCUAAAGAUUUGUUAGUUGUCUCCUUUUAAAAAUUAGCUGACCAGCACAUUGUCCUGUGUCAAAUCUUGCAUAUCCUUUAUAGAUAGCUUCAUUUGAUUUGGUGACAAUCUUGUUUUAUUACUGAUAGUCAUCUUCUUUCAAGACAGCUCAAAAUUAUGCAAAUGAUGUUGUGACGAGCACUCAAACUGUAAUCUACAUUUACUUGUAUUUCUGUGUCACAUUAAAGAUGUUGCCUGUACUAUGGAAAUGGAUGUAAGAAAAUUGGCCGUUCUCAGGUAACACAGUCGAAAGAUGCAUAGAAUAAAAAAAGGAAAGACAUGCGACACUGGACGUCUACUCAGCACCACAUGUUGUCCCUGUGGUUUGGUGGAGAAUCCAUGACGACGUGUCCGACUCAGGACAGCAGAAGGCAUCGUCAGUCUUUUCCUGUCCUACAAUCUGAAUGGAAGUAAAGCGAUAGGUUCACAUGAAGAAGAUUUAUUUGUUGUUCAGCUGAGGAAGAAAUUGGGAUUUAUUCAUGGUUAAGUGGUACUGAGUCUCUAUUUUCAAGGUUAUUUGUUUCAUUUUAGGGGCACGACUUUGCUUUUCUAAUCAAAAAUCUUCUGUGUCCCACUGUAUGUGAGUUUCUCAUGGUACCUUCAUAGGUGUUGUGCAUAAAGGGAUGUAAAGACCAUUUCAUGGAAAAAACAGACAUAACAGCAAAUAACGCAACUUGAA
ensembl:lncRNA